rnacentral:rRNA from 2 species
UACGUAGGUGGCAAGCGUUGUCCGGAAUUAUUGGGCGUAAAGCGCGCGCAGGCGGAUAGGUCAGUCUGUCUUAAAAGUUCGGGGCUUAACCCCGUGAUGGGAUGGAAACUGCCAAUCUAGAGUAUCGGAGAGGAAAGUGGAAUUCCUAGUGUAGCGGUGAAAUGCGUAGAUAUUAGGAAGAACACCAGUGGCGAAGGCGACUUUCUGGACGAAAACUGACGCUGAGGCGCGAAAGCCAGGGGAGCGAACG